rnacentral:rRNA from 1 species
GGCGAACGCUGGCGGCAGGCCUAACACAUGCAAGUCGAACGAACCUUUCGGGGUUAGUGGCGGACGGGUGAGUAACACGUGGGAACGUGCCCUUAGGUUCGGAAUAACUCAGGGAAACUUGUGCUAAUACCGAAUGUGCCCUUCGGGGGAAAGAUUUAUCGCCUUUAGAGCGGCCCGCGUCUGAUUAGCUAGUUGGUUGAGGUAAUGGCUCACCAAGGCGACGAUCAGUAGCUGGUCUGAGAGGAUGAUCAGCCACAUUGGGACUGAGACACGGCCCAAACUCCUACGGGGGGCAGCAGUAGGGAGUCUUGCGCAAUGGGCGAAAGCCUAGCGCAGCCAUGCCGCGUGAAUGAUGAAGGUCUUAGGAUUGUAAAAUUCUUUCACCGGGGACGAUAAUGACGGUACCCGGAGAAGAAGCCCCGGCUAACUUCGUG